ensembl:lncRNA
AAGAGCUGUACAAUUAGAGGCAAGCUAGAUAGAAGAGCACACAAGAUAGAGUGAAAUUGGAAAGCAGCAUAUUUGCAUCAGAUAAGAACCAAGAGGGUGCUGGGACAUAGGUUCUCUCCGUCUUCAGGCAGAGAAAAUGCAUCCAAAAUCUACUUUUCAGGAGUGUAGCUGGAGAGUUUUUGUGCUGUGAACCAAACUUCCAGGAGCAAAAUAUCGAUACUGAAGAAUUUAAAUGGCAGAACCCAUCUCCCCACCCUGCAGUUUGCCUCAUGUGGAUGAAGAUGAGGAGAGCACUUGUUGCAGGCUCUUCCCUUUGGAAGCUCUUCAGUGUUAUAAAUCACAGCUCCAGCAAACUGGAUUGAAUUACAACUGAAUUGAAUGCACUUCUAUAGCACCUUCCCCCAGGGAUCUAAACCAAUUUUCUCACCAUUGCUAAAUGCUGAACUUCCCUUGUACCCUUGCAGACUUGACCAAGCACUGUGGGCUCCAGCUUCUGAAAAAAGGCACUUAGAAGUCAAUUCAGGCAGGGUUUGGUACAGCGUGCCCUGAGCCGUGAGUGAAGAGCUGCUCUAAUAACCUUAUUUAUGGUGGGAACACACGAGGGACCAGGUACAUGUGUACAGUGUGCACGUGGUGCUGCUGCAAG